GGAAAGGUGGCCGAGUGGCUUAAGGCACCGGCUUGCUAAGCUGGCAUACUGUCAAGGUAUCAUGGGUUCGAAUCCCAUCCUUUUCG
rnacentral:tRNA from 1 species